GUUUCUAUGGUGUAAAGUUUAGCAUGCUGGACUCUGAGUCCAGCAGUCUGAGUUCAAAUCUCGGUAGGACCU
rnacentral:tRNA from 1 species